rnacentral:rRNA from 1 species
GAUGAACGCUGGCGGCGUGCCUAACACAUGCAAGUCGAACGAAGCACCUUACCUUAUUCUUCGGAUGAAAGUUUGGUGACUGAGUGGCGGACGGGUGAGUAACGCGUGGGGAACCUGCCCUUUACAGGGGGAUAACAGCUGGAACCGGCUUCUAAUACCGCAUAAGCGCACGAGGAGACAUCUCCUUGUGUGAAAAACUCCGGUGGUACAGGAUGGGCCCGCGUCUGAUUAGCUGGUUGGCAGGGUAACGGCCUACCAAGGCAACGAUAAGUAGCCGGUCUGAGAGGAUGAACGGAGACACUGGAACUGAGACACAGUCCAAAAUACUACGGGAGGCAGGAGUGGGGAAUAUUGCAAAAUCGCGGAAACGAUGAUGGAGCAACGAUGCGUGAGUGAAGAAGUAUUUCGGUAUGUAAAGUUAUAUAAGAAGGGAAGAUAUUGACGGUACCUGAAUAAGAAGCUCCGGCUAAAUACGUG